AACCCCUCACCAGCAGCGAUUCUGGAUAAGGAAGGAUGAUGUUUUCGAAACCAUCGGGAAUCACGCCUCUAAUUUUGCUCCCACCGCAAGGAAACCAGGAGCCCCCCAUCCCGCCUCCCCAAUCCUCGAUUUGCACCUAAUCCAGCACCGCACGUCGAAAAAUUCCACGCCUGCCCGCCGCCGUGCUCGCUCGCCCCAUCCAUACGGCAGACUCGGCUUGGGGGCCAUCGGCAACCGCGGAUUCCCCACCGCCCCGCGGCACACCCGGUUGGAGGCCUGCCCCCUGCGCCGCCCAUCCCGCCUGCGGCCCUCCAGCCGCUCCUUGCUGACGGCGCCCCCUGCUGGUGGUGGCCACCGCUCCCGCACGGCCGCCCCCUGCCGGUGGCACGCGCUUGGGCCCCCCACCCCCCGGUGGAACCGCCUGGAGGCCAUAACCGAGGUCGGCGCCCACACGCCGUAGCUAUUGUGUGCAUCGCCGGCCGCCUCCAUCGAUGAUGCAUAGGGGAGCCGCUGAUCGAGGAGCCGCGAGAUCCCCUCCACUCUGGACCGAAUCCGGCAGGCUAGUCAGCGGCCGCGGACGCCACAUUUGUGGAUCCAGCAGGCAAGUCAGGUGCAUAGUUCCUGCGACCUCCAAGAUGACGCCGGGUGAUGCCGGAAAUCGUUUUUACGCAGGCGUCCAUGGCAUGCUAGUUCUCCUAUCAUUCUCUCAGAACACUUAACUAUACUGAUUUUUACUACUCCUCGCAACUAGUAUUUACUCACAGCUUUAUAAUUUGUGAUCUUCGUGUGUUUAACUCUCAUUCCAUAUUAUUUAUACAAAUGCUCACUACAA